AUUGAACGCUGGCGGAAUGCUUUACACAUGCAAGUCGAACGGCAGCACGGACUUCGGUCUGGUGGCGAGUGGCGAACGGGUGAGUAAUGUAUCGGAGCGUGCCCAGUCGCGGGGGAUAACGUAGUGAAAAUUACGCUAAUACCGCAUACGCUCUAUGGAUGAAAGCGGGGGAUCGCAAGACCUCGCGCGAUUGGAGCGGCCGAUAUCAGAUUAGGUAGUUGGUGGGGUAAAGGCCCACCAAGCCAACGAUCUGUAGCUGGUCUGAGAGGACGACCAGCCACACUGGAACUGAGACACGGUCCGGACUCCUACGGGAGGCAGCAGUGGGGAAUUUUGGACAAUGGGCGAAAGCCUGAUCCAGCCAUUCCGCGUGCAGGAUGAAGGCCCUCGGGUUGUAAACUGCUUUUGUACAGAACGAAAAGGUUUCUACUAAUACUAGGAGCUCAUGACGGUACUGUAAGAAUAAGCACCGGCUAACUACGUGCCAGCCGCCGCCGUAA
rnacentral:rRNA from 1 species